ensembl:piRNA 21ur-1427 ncRNA
UGGAGCUAGGUUCCGGAGAAA